AUUGAACGCUGGCGGCAGGCCUAACACAUGCAAGUCGGGCGGUAACAGGAAUCAGCUUGCUGAUUCGCUGACGAGCGGCGGACGGGUGAGUAAUGUCUGGGAAACUGCCUGAUGGAGGGGGAUAACUACCGGAAACGGUAGCUAAUACCGCAUAACGUCUACGGACCAAAGUGGGGGACCUUCGGGCCUCAUGCCAUCAGAUGUGCCCAGAUGGGAUUAGCUAGUAGGUGGGGUAACGGCUCACCUAGGCGACGAUCCCUAGCUGGUCUGAGAGGAUGACCAGCCACACUGGAACUGAGGCACGGUCCAGACUCCUACGGGAGGCAGCAGUGGGGAAUAUCGCACAAUGGGCGCAAGCCUGAUGCAGCCAUGCCGCGUGUAUGAAGAAGGCCUUCGGGUUGUAAAGUACUUUCAGCGGGGAGGAAGGUGUUGUGGUUAAUAACCGCAGCAAUUGACGUUACCCGCAGAAGAAGCACCGGCUAACUCCGUGCCAGCAGCCGCAGUAA
rnacentral:rRNA from 1 species